GAGUUGCUGAGGGUGAGGGGGGCAUCGGCGGCAGCAGCGGUGGCUGCUGUGGAGAGAGAGAGAGAGUGGCUGGUUGGGGGGAAGGGGCCAGAGUUGAGGGGUCCAUAGCCUAGUAACUGGGUGAUCCACCUCCGACCCUUAAGCCAGAGACUCAGCCACCAGAGAAACGGCGGAGAACAAUUGAGGAUUUCAACAAAUUCUGCAGUUUUGUUUUGGCAUAUGCUGGUUACAUUCCCCCUAGCAAAGAGGAAAGUGACUGGCCAGCCUCUGGCUCCAGCUCUCCAUUGCGAGGAGAGAGUGCGGCCGACAGUGAUGGCUGGGACUCGGCCCCCUCAGAUCUUCGAACCAUCCAGACUUUUGUUAAGAAAGCAAAGUCAUCCAAGAGAAGGGCAGCUCAAGCAGGUCCCACCCAGCCAGGACCCCCAAGGUCCACUUUCUCUCGUCUGCAGGCCCCCGACAGUGCUACCUUGCUUGAGAAGAUGAAGCUCAAGGACUCU
rnacentral:lncRNA from 1 species